rfam:TPA: Bos taurus chromosome 10, whole genome shotgun sequence.
UCCCUGGUAGUCCAGUGGUUAAAACGCUGUGCUCUCAAUGCAGGAACCUGAGUUCAAUCCCUGGUCAGGGAA